CUUAGCUCUGGGCAGUCGUCCAUCAGAGUCCAAGCACAGAGCAAGAGAGAGAGGGAACACAAGUAUAGCCAUUUUGUUCAGCUUGCUAUAUCCCAAGCCCUCAUCGCUUGCCUGGUUGGCUGCCAGGGAAACCAGCAAUCCCAAGACACGUGCUGGUCUGUCCUCUUCAGCUGUUAAAAAAGUCUGAUUAUGCGCUGAGGAUGGAGCCUGCACUAAUUUGUCUGACCACUUCUCAUAUGAAGAGAUUCACUGUAGCUCCAGUAAGGGGGGAACCUGCUCCAGGAUUGACAUUUAAUCCAUGCCAAUUUAUCACCAGUGCAGCCCACCCCAGUGGAUACAAUUGGGUGGUAUAUUGCCUCAGAGUGGACCUCAAAUGACAGCUCUGGGCUCUCUGAGGCCCAUGACCCAUCAGUUCUGCUAAGACCUCUAAGGGGCCAUCCAUCACCAGGGCCACGCUGUAACCUGGGGAUAGAUUUCUUCUCUCCUUGCCCACUCAUCAAUCACUACAGGCUACUAUGCAUAUCCAAGGCUUCAGAAGGUGGGAAAGGCCAAGCAAUGUCACUCACUAGGCCAAGUAGGCACUUGCAGAAUGGCAAAAAAAAAGUUUAAAUAAGUCAGUGAAAUGCCAAUAAAAUGUUUGUGUUUGUAGUUCAGUUGAGAAAUAAAUAUAUGAAUCUUGGAAUGAGUAAAGAACCUAGUAACAUCCUCCGUGAGGUUUUUCUUUGAGAGAAUUCCUACAGACAACAACAUCUAGCAUCUCUAUGCACAUACACUCUGUAGGAAUCAGCUGAAACACUUCAAUUAGUGAAAGAUUGAUUGAGAUUGUGUGUUUUCAAGUAUGUUCAGAAACAAAUCAUUGUUAAUGAUGAAAUGUUUAUGAUUAAUCUUGUUCAUUUGUAUCAGUAAUGAGCAGGAGCAGCAAGACAGCAACCAUGACUAACAGACAAGAGGGUCAGAAUAGAAAGUACGUGUUGGUGUGAGCCUUGGCUGAAACAAGACCAGCGCUCAUAGAGACAAAAGCAAUCUCUUACAGUUCACUAGAAAGUCAUCCAAAAAUAAAAUAGUUUGUGAAUGGCACAUCACUAACGUGAUGAUAUUAUUAAGGGGGAAACAAGAAAUCCUGUGAAUGGAGGUACUGUAAGCGGGGCCCAUGGUGACGCAAAACAAUGCAAGGAACAAUGAGAGAGACCCAAGAGAGUUGAGAAUAUAGGGGGCGUUAAUCAUUCACACUACAGAGGAUAGGAGUGGUGAUGCAACAGAGUAGAAAGAGCAAAAAAGGGAAGAAAAGCAAAGUUAGUGUUUGAGAGACUUGGUGCAGUCACCUACAGCAAACAGAGCUGCAUGUCACUGACACCUACACAAAGAGGAUGCAGUGGUGGUUAAGGCUUUUGUCAUGUCGCUAUAGCAGAGGCUGAUGGCCUUGAGUCAGCCAGUGCCAGGUGUCCUUUUGACAUGGGCACCACUCCCCUUAAUGACGAGGAGACGAGAGAGUGAGGCUGCCACCAACACCCUUCCAAUUAAAACCUCUCAUUAAUCAGAGCUAUUUAAAGAAGCCCAUUCAUCCCCGAUGGUGGGAAGCAUGCUGACGAGAGAAAAGAUAAACUGCACAUCUUUGCUCUGAUUAACCUUUUCUCUAAGCUGCCCUUUGGCAUUGCUGCUUUCUUUCCACAACUAUGGUAAGCAGCUGUCACAAUUCUAACAUAAAGAAUAACUGCAUCAGACUGACAAAGAAUAUACAUUUUCUUUGUCAUAUAUAUUUUUUAUCAUAUUUAUUUUCUUUUAUAUGUAAUGCAGUUAUUUUGGACUGAUGUUUCAUGACACAAAUACAUGGGAAAUAAAUAUUCGGCAUGCUUAUAGCAUAGCUUAACUACCCUUCAUAUUAAGAUCAAACAAAGCAAGUAAAGUUGAGUAAAUUAUUUACGUCCUUUCCCUGAAAUAUAGUGGAAAGUAUUUUGUGAUUAAAUGUUGGCAUUGUGACACUAAAUUUACUAAGUUAAGAUUAAAACCCCAGUCACACAAAAUAGAUAACAAAUAUCUUGUUUUUAUUACUUUUUUAAUAUAUUCAAUAUGUGGAAUAUAUUUGGGUUUUUUAAUAAAGGCAUUUUUCUUUAUGCUGUGAUAUUAUUUGUAUUAUUAGUUGCUGAAAAAGUUUCCAU